rnacentral:rRNA from 1 species
CUACGGGAGGCAGCAGUGGGGAAUAUUGCACAAUGGGCGCAAGCCUGAUGCAGCCAUGCCGCGUGUAUGAAGAAGGCCUUCGGGUUGUAAAGUACUUACAGCGGGGAGGAAGGGAGUAAAGUUAAUACAUUUGCUCAUUGACGUUACCCGCAGAAGAAGCACCGGCUAACUCCGUGCCAGCAGCCGCGGUAAUACGGAGGGUGCAAGUCGUUAAUCGGAAUUACUGGGCGUAAAGCGCACGCAGGCGGUUUGUUAAGUCAGAUGUGAAAUCCCCGGGCUCAACCUGGGAACUGCAUCUGAUACUGGCAAGCUUGAGUCUCGUAGAGGGGGGUAGAAUUCCAGGUGUAGCGGUUAAAUGCGUAGAGAUCUGGAGGAAUACCGGUGGCGAAGGCGGCCCCCUGGACGAAGACUGACGCUCAGGUGCGAAAGCGUGGGGAGCAAACAGGAUUAGAUACCCCAGUAGUC